UACAGAGGUCUCAAGCGUUGUUCGGAUUCAUUGGGCGUAAAGGGUGCGUAGGCGGCGCGGUAAGUCGGGUGUGAAAUCUCGGAGCUUAACUCCGAAACUGCAUUCGAUACUGCCGUGCUUGAGGACUGGAGAGGAGACUGGAAUUUACGGUGUAGCGGUGAAAUGCGUAGAUAUCGUAAGGAAGACCAGUGGCGAAGGCGGGUCUCUGGACAGUUCCUGACGCUGAGGCACGAAGGUCAGGGGAGCAAACGGGAUUAGAUACCCCGGUAGUCCUGACAGUAAACGGUGCACGUUUGGUGUGGGAGGAUUCGACCCCUUCUGCGCCGGAGCUAACGCGUUAAACGUGCCGCCUGGGGAGUACGGCCGCAAGAUUAAAACUCAGAGAAAUUGACGGGGGCCCGCACAAGCGGUGGAGUAUGUGGCUCAAUUCGAUGCAACGCGAAGAACCUUACCAGGCCUUGACAUGCAUCUCUAAGUUGGUGAAAGCCAGCGAGUCCCGAAAGGGGCAAUUUGCACAGGUGCUGCAUGGCUGUCGUCAGCUCGUGUCGUGAGAUGUUGGGUUAAGUCCCGCAACGAGCGCAACCCUUGUC
rnacentral:rRNA from 1 species